GAAGAAUGCAUCUUUUGAGGGGGAGCUUUAGAUAUUCAGUAUCUUUUUAUGGAUUGAUUUUAAUGAACCUCCUUAUAUUGCAAGACUUGCUUUAAUUAUAUAAUGAGUUUAUACCUUGAGAUGAGUUCUAUAAAGGUUGUCUUAUCUCAAACAUUGAGUCUUAUGAAAAUAAACUGAAACUUAUAGAAAAUAUUUUUUUUUUGAGAUAGACAAUUUUACUGAACAUUAUCUUUAAAUUCUAAACUCUUAAAUGGAAUGAUCAAUUGAGGAGGAGAAAGAAAAUCUCAGAAGGAGAGAUCUUAUGGAACUUAAUCGCAUAAAUCUAUCACUAAAGGAGAGAGAAAGCAUACUAAAUGAAAAGUGAUCCUAAUGCUCUCCAAAAUGUAUCAUCUGAAAUUUAAAUAUACAAAUCUUUAUGAUACACCUUGAGGCUUGUUAUUUGGUUAAUAUAUCUUAUGCAUAAAUCAUGAACCAAAUUGCAAUUCAAACAUUUGAUCUUAAGAGCCUCUAACUU
rnacentral:lncRNA from 1 species